GACGAACGCUGGCGGCGUGCUUAACACAUGCAAGUCGAACGGACAGGCCCUGAGUUUGCGGGGUGCACGAGUGGCGAACGGGUGAGUAACACGUGAGUAACCUGCCCUUGACUUUGGGAUAACUUCAGGAAACUGGGGCUAAUACCGGAUAGGAGCUCCUGCUGCAUGUUGUGGGAUGGAAAGUUUCGGCGUUGCGGGAUGGACUGGCGGGUUAUCGGCUUGUUUGUCGAGUAGUGACGUACAAAGGCUUUGAAGGGUAGCCCGCCUGAGAGGGUGAACGGCCACAUUGGGCCUGAGAUACGGACCAGACGCCUACGGGAGGCAGUAGUGGAGAAUAUUGCAGAGUGGGCGGAAGUGAGUGGCAGCAACCCCGCGUGCGUAAUGCCCGCUUAUGAGUUGUGAACAGAUGUGUAAGGAGAUGUAGAGAGAGUGACGGUAACGGGUAAAAAAGCACCGGCUAACUACGUG
rnacentral:rRNA from 1 species